GACGAACGCUGGCGGCGUGCCUAAUACAUGCAAGUCGAACGAGAGCGACCGGUGCUUGCACUGGUCAAUCUAGUGGCGAACGGGUGAGUAACACGUGGGUAACCCGCCCAUCAGAGGGGGAUAACAUCCGGAAACGGACGCUAAAACCGCAGAGGCUCUCGAGCCGCAUGGCUGGAAGGGGAAAAGAGGCGCAAGCUUAUGCUGAUGGAGGGACCCGCGGUGCAUUAGCUAGUUGGUGGGGUAACGGCUUACCAAGGCCGUUAGGCACAGCCGACCUGUGGGGGUGAUCGGCCACCUUGGGGCUGAGACGCCGCCCAUACGCCUGCGGGAGGCACCAGUCGGGAAUCUUCCGCAAUGGACGCAAAUCUUACGGAGCAACGCCGCGUGAGUUAAGAAGGUUCUCGGAUCGUAAUACUCUGUUGUUAGUGGUGAACAAGUGCUGGAGUAACUGUUAGCGCCUUGACGGUAUCUAACCAGAAAGCCACGGCUAACUACGUG
rnacentral:rRNA from 1 species